UAGUGGUSAUAGUUUCCAAGURGCKUGAGGAAAAGAUKUAAASCACCWUGAAAAGAGAGUUAAACAGUAUGUGAAAUUGUUAAAAGGGAACCGUUUGGAGCCAGACUGGCUUGUCUGUAAUCAAUCUAGGCUUCGGCCUGGAUGCACUUGCAGGCUAUGCCUGCCAACGACAAUUUGACUUGAGGGAAAAAACUAGGGGAAAUGUGGCCCACUUGUGGGUGUUAUAGUCCCUUAGAAAAUACCUUGGGUUGGAUUGAGGAACGCAGCGAAUGCUUAUUGGCGAGUUUUCCAGGAAGGUUUUCUGAGGUACUACGGUAUCAAGGUUGAUCUUUUUGGUUAUACUUCUAUUCGCUUAGGUUGUUGGCUUAAUGACUCUAAAUGACCCGUCUUGAAACACGGACCAAG
rnacentral:rRNA from 1 species